rnacentral:rRNA from 1 species
AUUGAACGCUGGCGGCAUGCUUUACACAUGCAAGUCGAGCGGUAACAGGCCUUCGGGUGCUGACGAGUGGCGAACGGGUGCGUAAUGCAUCGGAACGUACCCAGAGGUGGGGGAUAACGCAGCGAAAGCUGUGCUAAUACCGCAUGUGAUCUGAGGAUGAAAGCGGGGGACCGAGCAGCAAUGUUUGGCCUCGCGCCUUUGGAGCGGCCGAUGUCGGAUUAGCUAGUUGGUGGGGUAAAGGCCUACCAAGGCGACGAUCCGUAGCUGGUCUGAGAGGACGACCAGCCACACUGGGACUGAGACACGGCCCAGACUCCUACGGGAGGCAGCAGUGGGGAAUUUUGGACAAUGGGCGCAAGCCUGAUCCAGCAAUGCCGCGUGCGGGAAGAAGGCCUUCGGGUUGUGAACCGCUUUUGGCAGGAACGAAACGGUGUCCGCUAAUACCGGGCGCUAAUGACGGUACCUGCAGAAUAAGCACCGGCUAACUACGUG